GUUGAUUCCGAUUCUCAGCUUAUCAUAAGCAGUAGGAAAGCUUCAUUAGUUUCAAAGUCACACUGAAAAGACUAAUAAAGGCUUUUUAGGAGGGCCAAAGUAUGGUUGGAAGGAAAGAUGAAAAUAUAGGGGAAGAGGAAAGAGAGAAAAUGAGACUAAAAGGAGAGAAAAUGUAGAUAAACAAGGGUGUUGGCACCAACUGUUUCCAUCAUGUCUCUCCUGAUGCUUAAUCUUAGGUAGGGUUUCAGAGUGACAAGGACCUGUUACUCAGAAUUCCCAUCCUGAGUCAUAAACAAGGUGGAGGCAGAAUCGUGUUGGUGCUCGCGUCUUCUGCAGGAAAAAGAAAGUAUUACCGUACCUUUCUGUCACCACUGCUCUGUCCCUCAAUCGUCCCUGCCCCACACAAACACUUCAAGGAAUUCUGGGUCAAAAAUGAGCCCUGAGUGAGUCUUGAUUCUCUGAGAUUUUGUCUUCGGGAAGAUUAAUCCUUGCUGAGAAGCAGGUGAGAUUCGCGUUUCUGCACAUCACCCAUCCUCCUUGGAGAACGCGAGAACCAUCCAGUUAUGCUGGAGCCGCAGGGUGGAGGCUGGCACCAGCACCAG
rnacentral:lncRNA from 1 species